UCCUGGUUUCCCAGGCAGUUCCGUUAAAGUGCCUUACUUACGUAAGUAGCAACUAACAGCAAGGGUUGCGCUCGUUAAAGGACUUAACCCAACAUCUCACGACACGAGCUGACGACAGCCAUGCAGCACCUGUUCUUGUGUCUUGACCGAAGCCAAGAACGUCACAUCUCUGUGACUGUCACAAGUAUGUCAAACCCAGGUAAGGUUCCUCGCGGAGUGUCGAAUUAAACCACAUGUUCCACCGCUUGUGCGGACCCCCGUCAAUUCCUUUAAGUUUUAGCCUUGCGACCGUACUUCCCAGGCGAAUCACUUAACGCGUUAGCUACGACACUAAUCCAGCAAGCCAGACUAACAUCUAGUGAUUAUCGUUUACAGCGUGGACUAC
rnacentral:misc_RNA from 1 species